rnacentral:rRNA from 1 species
GAGUUUGAUCCUGGCUCAGGAUGAACGCUGGCGGCGUGCCUAACACAUGCAAGUCGAACGAAGCACCUUACCAGAUUCUUCGGAUGAUCGAUUGGUGACUGAGUGGCGGACGGGUGAGUAACGCGUGGGUAACCUGCCCUGUACAGGGGGAUAACAGUUGGAAACGGCUGCUAAUACCGCAUAAGCGCACGAGGAGACAUCUCCUUGUGUGAAAAACUCCGGUGGUACAGGAUGGGCCCGCGUCUGAUUAGCUGGUUGGCAGGGUAACGGCCUACCAAGGCAACGAUCAGUAGCCGGUCUGAGAGGAUGAACGGCCACAUUGGAACUGAGACACGGUCCAAACUCCUACGGGAGGCAGCAGUGGGGAAUAUUGCACAAUGGGGGAAACCCUGAUGCAGCAACGCCGCGUGAGUGAAGAAGUAUUUCGGUAUGUAAAGCUCUAUCAGCAGGGAAGAUAAUGACGGUACCUGACUAAGAAGCUCCGGCUAAAUACGUGCCAGCCGCCGCGGUAAUUC